rnacentral:rRNA from 1 species
ACGCACGCUGGCGGCGUGCUUCACCCAUGCAAGUCGAACGGGCCCGCCCCUGUUUUUGGGGGUGGGUUGAGUGGCGAACGGGUGAGUAUCACGUGAGUAACCUGCCCCCUGCUCCUGGAUAACUGCUUGAAAGGGCGGCUAAUACGGGGUGUGCCGGCUGGUCCGCAUGGGCCUGGUCGGGAUAGUUUCAUCUUCGGGUGUUUCGGUGGGGGAUGGGCUCGCGGCCUAUCAGCUUGUUGGUGGGGUGAUGGCCCACCAAGGCGGUGACGGGUAGCCGGCCUGAGAGGGUGGGCGGCCACACUGGGACUGAGACACGGCCCAGACUCCUGCGGGAGGCAGCAGUGGGGGGUAUUGCACAAUGGGCGGAAGCCUGAUGCAGCGACGUCGCGUGAGGGAUGGAGGCCUUCGGGUUGUGAACCUCUUUCUCCGGUGGUGAAGGCCCUGUCCGUUGCGGCGGGGUUGACGGUAGCCGGGGAUGAAGCGCCGGCUAACUACGUG